GAAGUAAUUACGAAGAAGACUACAAACGACAAGAAACGAACGACAAAAAAGCUUGAACUUUUAAUAAAUCACUUAUACUCGCAUUGUAUUAACGAACAGAAUAACCAUAUACAGUUUCGCCUGGAUAUGGAAAUACAAGUGCUAAAUUUUGGAAUGCAGUAUAGUAUUUGUUCUUGCAACAAGUUUCUUGAUACUAAAAGAUAUUUAGAUGAUUAUAUUAAGACACACACCCGUAUAUUUUGACAAGUAUGCAAGGAGCAUACGACAUACCUGGGCCGUUAGAAAGCUGAUCAAAAUUAAAAAAAGCGGCGAGUUUAACAAUGGGAAAAUAAUAAAGGCGUUCAAAUAACAUCACAUUCAGCAAUAACAAUAGUCUUUCGACGAUAUAAAUUACUUAUGAUAUACGAGAGAAGUUGCAUAUCUGACGUUCAAUUAUUCGUUUUAUGUUUAUUAAGUUAUAAACAUGUUUUGU